AUACUUACCUGGCAGGGGAGACACCAUGAUCACCACGGUGGUUUUCCCAGCGCCAGGCCCACCCACUGCCGUGCGGGUGUGCAGGCCCCUGAGACUUCCCUCCGUGUGGGAGACUCCACUGCACAAUCUGUGGUAGUGGGGGACUGCAUGCACGCUCUCCCCUG